AUGGAAAUCCCUCCUGGGAGUCACUGCUCGGGCACAGCAGCUGUUCCUGGGCCCCUGUCCGGCCUGGAGCCUGUCCCUGUGUCCCUGUCCAUCCAGAAUCCUGUCCCUGUGUCCCUGUCCAUCCAGAAUCCUGUCCCUGUGUCCCUGUCCAUCCUGUCCCUGUGUAUGCUGGAGCCCUGUCCCUGUGUCCCUGUCCCUCCAUGGGGCUGUAUUCAGACCCUAUCCCUGUGUCCCUGUCCAUCCAAGAUCCUGUCCCUGUGUCCCUGCCUGUCCAGGAUCCUGUCCCUGUCCAUCCAGGAUCCCUAUCCUUGUGUCCUUGUCCAUCCUGUCCGCGUGUCCCUGUCCCUCCAUGGGGCUGGAUCCAGACCCUGUUCCUGUCUCCCUGUCCAUCCUGUCCCUGUCCAUCCUGUCCCUGUCCAUCCAGAUCCCAUCCCUGUCUCCCUGUCCAUCCUGUCCCCAUCCCUGUGCCCCUGGCCAUCCUGUCCCUGUCCAUCCUGUCCCCAUCCCCGUGUCCCUGUCCCUCCAUGUCCCCUCCAGCUCUCCUGGAGCCCUUCCAGGCUCUGGGAUCAGCUCCAAGGUUCCUCUGGACCUUCCCUUGCCCAGCCUUGGGCACCUGCAGGCUCCAGGGGCAGCCCCAGCUGCUCUGGGAAUCCCAUGCCAGCCCCUUCCCACCAUCUCCANAUUUCAGCUGAGGGUCAGAACCAAUUCCCACUGAAGUUAGAUACGCCAGUGAUAGGUUGGUGAUUAUUAGAUGCUUAAAUCUGCUGUAGAAAUAACAAUUUGAGCUAAUUGCUCUAUUAUGAGCUCAUCUGUAGAAGGAAGUGGAGCAAGGGAAGCAUUACAGGAAUUACUGGGAGCAGCAGAGCAGUGCCCAGCACUGGACUCUGUUAAUCCAUCACAAAGCAGGGAACAGAGGGUCACAGAGACCUGAGGAAGACAUUCCUGACUUCAUCCCCGACCCAGUUGGAGCCCACUGACCCCAUUAGAGAGAAGAACCGCACACGUGUGAGGGACUAAUAACCUCAUUCUACACAGAGCGGGGAUGGGAGGGGCUGGGCUGAUGCAAAUGGAUUAUUUUGGGAAAUAAACAGGAGGCGAGAGCCUGGUGCA
rnacentral:lncRNA from 1 species